GGCAGGCCCCGAGCGGCGCCCCGCAGCCCCCCGCCCCUUCCGCCGCCGCCGCACGGCAGGCGCCGACGGGAAAAGCCGCCCCCGGGGCAGCGCUCCCGGGCCCGGUGCUCCCGGGGCGUUUUUAUGAAUGAAAAUGCGAAUCAGAAGUGGAAACUUGGAAAAAACCUGUGGACUGCGACCAACUUGCUGGCGUCCAUCCGUGGAGGAAAAAGUCACUUAAAGGCUCUUUAUGAGUUGCUUACACCUAAGGGGAAGCGGAGCGUCCUUUGGAGACGGUAUCGGAAUCCACAGUUUUGGUCACAUUACAAUAUUAAAGUAAUGUAUUUUUACUUGCUAGAGUUUCGGCCCACGACGCCGGCAGUGUCGCUUUCCGUUUUUGCUAGYGCCGUGUAGCGCUCGGGAGCGGGAGCUUGCUUUCGUCCCCGCAGCAGCCCGCAGCGUGCUCGUCCGGGCGGCGGAGCCGCCUCCCUCCUGGCCGCUUUUCCUGCGCAGAGCCCGGCCGGACGCCCGCUCCGCUGUGCUGGUGCAUCCCCCCGCGGAGCUCGGCCACCGACCGGCCCUGGUGGAUGGUCCAGGCUAAUAAUAACCCCCGGAUGCCCCUUUAUUUUGGAAAGCGAUUCAGGGAUCCGGUUUUCAGAAUGGCAUGAUAAACAUCUUGGCAAAAGUGUGCUGGCACUGCAAGGAAGUGCCGAGGCAGGGAUAAACGGCUGCGGCAAGGAAAUGGCAGGAACUUCUUGAGCUGUUGCACCGUAAAAGRCCAGACGUAAUGAUCUGACACUCUUCCACCCAUCCACUUUCCCCCCCACAACUGAUGCUGAGAUUACGCAGCCUUCUAACUCUUUUUCUAACUUUCAUGCCCAAAAUCUCAGUCCUCAGCAAGAGCACAGGUGAGAGGGACGUGGUGAGUAUGGUGUUUGGCAGUGAGCUACCGCGGAACCGCAAUAAGCAGGGAGUUACAGCCCUGUGGAGGAACCAAGCCAGCGUGCGAUCGUGUCAUUAAAGGGCCAUCAUAACGCGCACACUGCAGAGCAGGACCGGCGCACCCGGGCUGCCUUUUUACAGCAUUUGUUAGUGCUUGAGAGCUUCACUUUGUGAUCCGAGUGACUUCUGUGUAUUUUGUGUGUGCGUGUAUAUGUAUUUGCCACAAUGGGUAGAUGCAAAAGCGUCUGAGACUUUGAAGCUGAAGUUUUGCUAGAUCCAGUUUCUGCAGCCUCUGGCUUUGCAAGAGCUCACAUUUGAUCUCUGCUCUCACUGACACGUUAAUUUGGAAGUUGCUAAGAUAUUUAUUCGUGGAAGGAUUUCUGUCACAGUACAGCCUGUUACUAUUGUGUAUGUGCCCUUAGCGCUGAUAAAUACUGAAUUUUAUUUUUCUAACACUGAAGUUACCACACGG
rnacentral:lncRNA from 1 species